rnacentral:lncRNA from 10 species
GCGCAGGCCGCCUUGGAGCCGGAUGGACCCCACGGAAAAUGCUCUGCCGGCGAAAGCGGCUGGCAAUGGGGUUGAUUUCAAGGCAGGGAAGAGCCAUCGCGCUGCCCUCCUCGGCUGGGAUGGCGAGACAGGGCUGGCACGGCUCACGCUGUCCGGUGCUCAGAAAACCGGUAAUCGCGGGCCCGAGGCGCUGCUCGCCGCCGUUUUUUGGCCCUGGGUUCCGUCGAGUGGAUCCAGCUUGUCAGUCUUUGUGUAGAUUUGGCUGCGUUCGCUCCGCACUUCGGAGGAGGUGGCGUUUCAUGGGAAGAAAUGCGCUCUAGCAGAUGGCCGCCGUGGCCAGUCAGCCCUGCUGCCACCGACGAAGACGCGGGCGACAGACCUGGACUCUAAAGAAAUCUGCACAGACGUGCCCGGCGCCCUCGGCCUUCCCAGCUCCGCGGCCGCAGCGACGCCGGUUAGGAUGUCGGCCCUGUGGGAGGGGCGCCCUUCCUGGUGCCGGGCCCUAACCCACGACCUGGAACAGCAGCUGGCCCGUGGCAAAUGCUGAGCAUAUCUCCUGAAAGAAUGGCUUCGCCGGUCCCUAGAGAAUGCACCCGAGUUUUGUGGUAUAUACACAUACGUACUUUUUUUCCAAGUAUAUUUUAUUUCUUGGCAAACAUGGCCCUUUGUGAUCGCUGUGUUUCUCUCCUCCCAUCCAUUAUACAACACUAAGUGAUUCAUCAUUCUUUGAACAAAUCAAACUGUUUCACACCUGCCAUGCAUUUGUACCGACCGUGCUCUUCCCUCUACUGCCGCAGCCCCCCAGGACACUUAAGAAACAGUUUCAUUUUCAUGACAGGCAAGGGCUUCAGGAAGAGUCGUUCCACAGGGUCCCUGGAAAUGAAACCUGAAAGAGAAGAAGCAAAUACAGCAGUUUUGAACUACAGAGUGCCACUUAAUGGACAGCCCAGACUACACGGCAUCUCCAGUCCGUCUGCCCCCUGCCACGUGCUGAGCACUGACUUCCAGAAAGUUCCAGGCCAGUAUGUGGUUAUCCAGGAAUUACUGCCAGCCAUGGGGAGCGUUUAGGGAAUUCCCAGAUCCUCAAUUUCCACCUCUUCUCUUUCUUAAGUGAUUUCAAGUGCCCCUUUCCACAUUCAGCCUUCUUCCGCCUUACAAAAGCAAGCUGGACCCCUCACCCAUCCCAAAUUUUACAAUGAUACCUCAUCCCCGAGUGUGAAAUAGAGGGAGUGUGAAACAUAUGGAGUACCAAAUAGAGGGACGUCUGGAAUACUGGUGUAGAUCUGACACCUUCAUAUGUAAGUAGGCUGGUUUCAUUCUUGCUUUCAAUAAAGUUGAAAGAGGGUCGGA